rnacentral:rRNA from 1 species
AACGCAUCUUGCGCUUGCUGGUAUUCCGGCAAGCAAGCCUGUUUGAGUGUCAUGAAAAUUAUCAACCAUGGCUUGGGUUUAGGCCCCUGCCUUGGCUUGGAUUUGGGUGUUUGCGGUCUUGUGCUGCUCACCUUAAAAGGAUUAGCUGGACAUGUCGUGAGACUUGGUUCUACUUGGCGUAAUAAGUAUUUCGCUGAGGACAUCCCUUCUGGGGUGCCAGGACUCUUGACAAACGUCUGCUUUCUAACCUCAUAGUUCCCACUCCAGGGACAUGACUUUAUGAUCUGGCCUCAAAUCAGGUAGGACUACCCGCUGAACUUAA